rnacentral:lncRNA from 1 species
AACUUCCAAUUUGCAUAAUCGUUAAGCAAGAGUGAUGAUAGGGAGAUUAAGGUUGUGCAUUCUGCAUAUAAUAAAUGCAGGUGCAGCAUUGACAGUCUCUAAAGCCACACUUAUAGCAACCAUAAUAGACACCAAGAGAUGCAUUCUUCAUUUUGGAUCACUUGACACUCUCUACAAGUUUUGCGACUUGCCCUUUCUUCAUCAG